rnacentral:rRNA from 1 species
GAUGAACGCUGGCGGCGUGCUUAACACAUGCAAGUCGAACGAAGCACUUUAACCUGAUUCUUCGGAUGAAGGUUUUUGUGACUGAGUGGCGGACGGGUGAGUAACGCGUGGGUAACCUGCCUCAUACAGGGGGAUAACAGUUAGAAAUGACUGCUAAUACCGCAUAAGACCACGGAGCCGCAUGGCUCAGUGGGAAAAACUCCGGUGGUAUGAGAUGGACCCGCGUCUGAUUAGGUAGUUGGUGGGGUAACGGCCUACCAAGCCAACGAUCAGUAGCCGACCUGAGAGGGUGACCGGCCACAUUGGGACUGAGACACGGCCCAAACUCCUACGGGAGGCAGCAGUGGGGAAUAUUGCACAAUGGGGGAAACCCUGAUGCAGCGACGCCGCGUGAGCGAAGAAGUAUUUCGGUAUGUAAAGCUCUAUCAGCAGGGAAGAAAAUGACGGU